UGGGGAAUAUUGCACAAUGGGGGGAACCCUGAUGCAGCGACGCCGCGUGAGCGAUGAAGUAUUUCGGUAUGUAAAGCUCUAUCAGCAGGGAAGAAAAUGACGGUACCUGACUAAGAAGCCCCGGCUAACUACGUGCCAGCAGCCGCGGUAAUACGUAGGGGGCAAGCGUUAUCCGGAUUUACUGGGUGUAAAGGGAGCGUAGACGGCUGUGCAAGUCUGGAGUGAAAGGCAUGGGCUCAACCUGUGGACUGCUUUGGAAACUGUGCGGCUUGAGUGUCGGAGAGGCAAGUGGAAUUCCUAGUG
rnacentral:rRNA from 1 species